UAUAAACGGGCUGUGGAAAAAGAGAAUGCAUGGCCAAAAAUGGUGGUGCUCUCUGACCAAAAACUAAGGCCCUAUGACCAUGAAUGAAGCCAGAGGGCAGGUAGGAAUAGAUCAUUUGCUCCAGAAGAAGCUGGUUGCCAUGUCUUGAGGACAGUAAACCCUCUGGGGAGGUUCCUGUGGUAAGGAACAAGGGCUCCUGGCAAUAGCCUCUGAGUGAGCCACCUUGAAAAUGGAUUGUCCAGCCCCAGUCAAGCUUUCAGAGGACUGUAGCCCCUGCCAAUGUCUUCACCACAACCUCAUGAGAUCCCAAGCUACAACCACUCAGUUAAGUUAUGCCAAAAUUCCUGAUUCACAGAAAGUGACAUACAGGAGAGGUCACAGUUAAGAUCUUGAUGUUCUAUCUUGACCCAUAAUAUAGGAACUUCAUCUUUUGGGAAGCACCAGGGAGAGCUGCCUGUGCCUGGCAGAAGCUGCCCAUGCCCCACUGAUACCCCACAGUACUUCCUGUUCUGCUCAGUACUCCUGCUUCUUUCUACAAACAACUGUGAUUCUCUACCUGGGAGCUUCCUCUGGCCACAGGAGCCUGCUCACCUGAUUGGGACACCCUAGCAGUACUGGCUCAUAGAUGCAAGGGACUUGCCUUGUCGCUGAUGAGACUUUCGACUUGGACUUUUGAGUCAAUGCUGGAAUGAGUUAAGACUUUGGGGAACUGUUGGAAGGGUGUGAUUGUGUUUUGAAUUGUGAGGACAUGAGAUUUUGAAGAGGCUAAGGGCAGCGUCCCCACCUAAAUCUCAUCUUGAAUUGUAGUUCCCAUAAUCCCCACGUGUCAUGGGGUGGACCCGGUGGAGAUAAUUGAAUCAUGGGAACACUUUCCCCCAUGCUGUUAUUGUGAUUGUGAAUUCUCACGAGAUCUGAUGGUUUUAUAAAGGCCUUCCCUCUUCGCUGGGCACUCAUUUUUCUCCUUCCUGCCACCACGUGAAGAAGGAUAUGCUUGCUCCUUGUGCCACGAUUGUAAGUUUCCUGAGGCCUCCCCAGCCAUGCUGAACUGUGAGUCAAUUGAACCUCUUUCCUUUAUAAAUUACCUAGUCUUGGAUAUGUUUAUUAGCAGUGUGAGACAGGACUAAUACACAAAGGAUUUGAAAUCACAAAGGAGCUGUUUUCUGCUCCACCAUGGAAGUCUCACAUGCAUCACAUCUAUUCAUAUCCAUUUGCCACAACUAGACAAAAAGUCCUUUUUAAAAUCUGCCUAGAGAUCAGGAAGUAUUAUCUCUGGAUGCCUAGGCAGGAGAGGAGAAUCAGAUAUUGGUGGGCACUAGUGUGUUCUAUGAUACAUACCUUAAUAAAAAUAAGUUUCAGAUAAAUCUAAAUAUACAUUAGAAUACUAUAACCACAGUAGAAAAAAAUAUUGGCUCCUUUUUGUGAUAAACUAAUGAUGGUAAAUGCACCCUAUUUAAGCAAGAAAAGAAACUGAUCUGCCAUAAAGAAACAAUGACAUAUUUAACUACAAAAUAUGUUACAAAAUAUUAAUAUCCCUAAUGGACAAAUGAGCUCCAAUAAAUGGAUAACAAAAAACCAAUAAGCCUGUAGAAAAAUGGAGAAAAUAUAUUUGCAGAAUAUUUAUACAGGUGGUAAUGAAAUUGACAAUGAUGUUUAUCAUCAGCAGUGAACAGUAAAAAGUUUCACCCACCAGGACUAUAGAAAUUUUUCAAAUGGAUAAUUUUCAGAAUCAGCAAAGUUAUAGAAAAGUAGGUACCAGUUGCACAUACCAUUGGAGGAAAUGUAAAAUAUAGUUACCUUGUGGAAAGUAAUCUGAUGUAAUAUAUUAAAAUUUUAUCCAUGUGUGUCCUAUAAUUCAGCAAUUCCAUGUUGGGGAAUCCAUACAAAGAAAUACUUAUACACAUGCAGAAGGAGCUAAGUUUAAGAAAGCACACAUUUCAGCGGGUUGUGGUGUCUCACCCCUGUAAUCCCAGCACAUUGGGAGGCCGAGGUUGGUGGAUCACCUGAGGUCAGGAGUUUGAGACCAGCCUGGCCAACAUGGUGAAACCCUGUCUCUACUAAAAAUACAAAAAAUUAGCUGGUGUGGCGGUGGGUGCCUGCAGCUACUCAG
rnacentral:lncRNA from 1 species